rnacentral:rRNA from 1 species
ACACAUGCAGUCGAACGAUGAACCUCACUUGUGGGGGGAUUAGUGGCGAACGGGUGAGUAACACGUGAGUAACCUGCCCUUGACUCUGGGAUAAGCCUGGGAAACCGGGUCUAAUACUGGAUACGACCUUCUGGCGCAUGCCAUGUUGGUGGAAAGCUUUUGUGGUUUUGGAUGGACUCGCGGCCUAUCAGCUUGUUGGUGGGGUAAUGGCCUACCAAGGCGACGACGGGUAGCCGGCCUGAGAGGGUGACCGGCCACACUGGGACUGAGACACGGCCCAGACUCCUACGGGAGGCAGCAGUGGGGAAUAUUGCACAAUGGGCGCAAGCCUGAUGCAGCGACSCCGCGKGAGGGAUGAAGGCCUUCGGGUUGUAAACCUCUUUCAGUAGGGAAGAAGCRAAAGUGACGGUACCUGCRGAARAAGCSCCGGCWAACUACGKGCCAGCRGCCGCGGWAAUACGUAGGGCGCAAGCKUWAUCCGGAAUUAUUGGGSCGUAAAGAGCUCGUAGGCGGUUUGUCGCGUCUGCCGUGAAAGYCCGGGGCUUAACYUCCGGAUCUKCGGKGGGKUACGGGCGGACUAGAGUGCRGUAGGGGGAGACUGGAAUUCCCUGGKGUAGCGGGUGAAAUGCGC